AAGGCUAUGCAUGGGCGGGCUUGUGAGGAGAGCAAAAGGGGCCGGCACAUGUGGACAGAACCCAACCGUGGUAAUUCGGUUGUAGCUGGUGAUGUUUCAUCGUCUUCUUCUUCGUUGUCUCCAGUUAAUUCGUUUUGCAAGGACGGACGCAAGAUCAACGUAGGGGAUUGUGCUCUUUUCAAACCAUCACAGGACUCUCCACCUUUCAUUGGAAUUAUUCGUUGGUUUACUACUGGC
rnacentral:misc_RNA from 1 species